rnacentral:ncRNA from 1 species
AUUAAAACGUUGACGAGGACAGUAGGUUCGCUUUAAGGCUUUGAGAGAGGAAUGGGCGGUGAGAUCAUUUCAGCACGGGCGCUCUGAACACCACCUCCGAGUGGCACUAAUCAUGCCCGCCUAGCCGCGUUAAAAGCUUCAAAGAGUGCCGGAGCAGGAGCUCCGGAAGAUGGGUGGAACCACGAAUACGAAUGUAUGCGUCCCUUCU